AGGGUUCACAGGACCUUAAGGAAUCUUCCCUCAUCACCUAUGUCUUUCUUUCCCCGAGUGUCUGUUCCCAGGUUCCCUGCAGUCCUAUGCCCACCCACACCAGGGCCCAGAAGCACCCUCCACCCACCCUGGGCACCCCCAGCCAAGGACACUUGCUCACAGAGGACAUGCAGCGCUGUGGGCCGGGAGCUGCGUGUGCCCUGGGCAUCCUGGACCUGGCAGCUCCACCCUGCAUCCAGCCACACUCACAGAGGACGUCCAGGGUGACGGGUCUGGAGAGGUGGAGUGUCUGGCCAAGGGUCAGCACGCCACAGCGGUAGGAGGCAGCAUCCAUGACCGUGACGUUGGGCAGGAGGAUGGAGUGGACAGCACCUGGGCGCUGCUGCCCAUCUUGGUACCAUGUAUAGGGAACACAGGUUGGAGCCCUGGUCCGGGAAGAUCCCACAUGCUGCGGAGCAACUAAGCCCGUGAGCCACAACUACGGAAGCCCGUGCGCGACAACUACUGAAGCCCGUGCGCCUAGAGCCCGUGCUCUGCAACAAGAGAAGCCACCGCAAUGAGAAGCCCGCGCCCUGCAAUGAAACGAAGAGUAGCCCCUGCUCGCUGCAACGAGAGAA